rnacentral:rRNA from 1 species
UACGAAGGGGGCUAGCGUUGCUCGGAAUCACUGGGCGUAAAGCGCACGUAGGCGGACUCUUAAGUCGGUGGUGAAAUCCUGGAGCUCAACUCCAGAACUGCCUCGAUACUGGGAGUCUCGAGUCCGAGAGAGGUGAGUGGAACUGCGAGUGUAGAGGUGAAAUUCGUAGAUAUCGCAAGAACACCAGUGGCGAAGGCGGCUCACUGGCUCGGGUACUGACGCUGAGGUGGCGAAAGCGUGGGGAGCGAACAGGA